AUUGAACGCUGGCGGAAUGCUUUACACAUGCAAGUCGAACGGUAGAGGGGGCAACCCUUCGAGAGUGGCGAACGGGUGAGUAAUAUAUCGGAACGUGCCAGUCGUGGGGGAUAACGUAGCGAAAGUUACGCUAAUACCGCAUACGAUCUAAGGAUGAAAGCGGGGGAUCGCAAGACCUCGCGCGAUUGGAGCGGCCGAUAUCAGAUUAGGUAGUUGGUGGGGUAAAGGCUCACCAAGCCAACGAUCUGUAGCUGGUCUGAGAGGACGACCAGCCACACUGGAACUGAGACACGGUCCAGACUCCUACGGGAGGCAGCAGUGGGGAAUAUUGGACAAUGGGCGAAAGCCUGAUCCAGCCAUGCCGCGUGUGUGAAGAAGGUCUUCGGAUUGUAAAGCACUUUAAGUCGGGAGGAAGGACUGUAGGCUAAUACCUUGCAGUUUUGACGUUACCGACAGAAUAAGCACCGGCUAACUUCGUGCCAGCAGCCGCCGUAAUAC
rnacentral:rRNA from 1 species